rnacentral:rRNA from 2 species
AAGACUUAUAUAAAGGAGAGGUAAUUGAAAAACUAGAGAUAGAUAAUAAUAUAUUAGUGUGGAACCAAUAACUAAUAUCUAUAUAGACAAAGUAGAAAGGAGUAACCGAUCUAAGCUAGAAAUAGUUAAAUAAUAAGGAUAUGAAUUGAAACAUCUUAGUAAUAUCUAAUAGAACCAACAGGGAUAAUAAAAAUACCGGUGAGGGAAAUUAUUAUUAAGUAUAAAAGUAAUACCAUGUGGUAUGAAGAUAGUAGUGCUACUACUAAUACGAAUAAGAGAUAUUAAGUUAUAAGUACCGUGAGGGAAAGUGGUAAGGGAGUUGUUAUUGACCGCCUUAAGGUAUUUAAUACCUUAAGGCGGUGAGUAUAUAAUAUACCCUGUAUAAACACUGAUAUAAGGAGCAGCUAUAGUAUAGCGUACCUCUUGUAUAAUGGGUCAGUGAGUCAUAUUGAAUAGCGAAAUAAAUAAUUAUAUAUAAUAAGUAUAAGUUAUUGGAUAUGGACCCGAAAGUAUAUGAUCUAUACAUGGUCAGGUUAAAUAGUAGAGAGACCCGCCCUUAGGGGCGGGUGCUAGAUUAUUUAGACCGAACAGGUGGGUGUAGCAAUACCUUCUGAAGAACUGUGUAUCGUUGUGAAAGGCUAAUCUCAUAUACAGAUAGCUGGUUAUCCGUGAAAUAUAUAUUAGUAUAGCCUUUAUUAAUUAUUUACUUGGUAAAUCACUAGAUAUAUGUUGGGAGUAAAUAUAGAACUUAUCAACUGUAUCUAAUAUCUGAACAAGUUAACAUCUCACCUAUAAGAUGAAUAUAUAAUUAAAUAAAGAGUCAGUCUUUAUGCGAUAAGGUAUAAAGACCAAAAGGGAAUAGCCUAGACUGUGAAAUGAAGGUCCCUAAUUAUAGUUAAGUGGAUAUAAUCCCAUGGUAUAUACCAUACUCUAUUUAAGCAAUUAGUCAGUUGAUAUGAUAGUAAUCAUCUGUUAAUGAACGUGUAACAACACACUAAUCGAAUAUAAAUGAAUAGAGGAUGGGAGUAGAUAAUCGGGCCUAUAACUAUAGACCAAAUUACAGAUCCACCCGACCGGAGGUCGGGUGGAUGGUAACGGAUCAUUCUAUGUAUACAAUAGAACAGAUAAUGCUGACUUGAGUAACGUUAGAUAGUAUGAAACUAUCCCCAUAAUGCAUAAGGUAUUACUACUAAUUAACGGCCUCUAAUAUAUAAUAUGAAAAUAUUAUAUAGAUGAGUAAUAUAACUAGAAAUUAAUAUAACCGUACUGUAGUCCGACACUGGUGUGCAAUAUAAUUAAUAUAUAUAUAAUAAUAUAUAAUUAUAUAAUGGGUAUGAGAUAAUCCCUGUGAAUGAACUCGGCAAUUAAGGGUAUAACCUUUAUAAUUUAGUGCGACUGUUUACCAAAAACAUAGCCUACUGCUAACAUGGAAUGUAAGUAUAGUAGGUGAUACCUGCCCGGUGCUAGUAAGAUAAUUAAUAAUAUACUGGUUAACGGCGGUCUUAUCAUGAGGAUCCGAAGGUAGCGAAAUUCCUUGACGUAUAAUUGGCGUCCUGCAUGAAUGAUUACACGAUGCUAUAGAUGUAUCCACAGGGAGCUCAGUGAAAUAGUACUUGCAGUGUAGAUACUGUAUGUAGCAACAGGUUGACGAGAAGACCCUAUGCAGCUUUACUAUAAGACUAUAUUGUUACAAUAUUAUAAUUUAAGUAUAUAAAAUAAUUUAGCUUAUAUAUAUAAUAUAUUUAACUAACUAUAUCUUUAGAUAUAGGACAUUAUAGUCUGGUUAGUUUCGAUGGGGCGUCGGCAUCACACAAAAUAACUGAUGUGUCUAACUGAUAAUUAAUAUAAACAUUCUAUUCAUUAUAUAAGAAUAUGAAUAUAAUAGUAUGACCAAGUACAGUAAGACUAGAUUGUAACUAGUACAUAAUAAUAUGUAUAUAACAUAUAUUAAAUGAUAUGGAUAAUAACCUAACUGUGCUAUGAUAAGGAGACUUACAAGUCGACUUAGUACGUAAGUAUAGUAUAAUGAACAGGUGAUUUCUUCAGCAUAGAGUGCCGAUAACGGAUCAAAGUUACGCUAGGGAUAAACUGUUAGUCCCUUUAUAUAGAGAUAUAUAGAAUAACAAUCGGGUGAAUUGCAAGAAUAUCACCCACCUCCUUUGGAGGUGGGUGACAAUUUGCAGCGAAGUAUAUAUUAGCUUAAUAAUAAAAUAUUAUUUAGAUAUAUAAACGUUCAACGACUAGAAGGUGAGUAAGCUAACAAUAACCCUUCCACGAGCGCCCGACAUCUUAAUGAACCAACAAUUACAAUUAAUUAAAGGUCAUUAUGAUGAUGACAUAGUCUGAACUAAAUAGUGAUAUUUAGAUAUAAUAUUUAAAUGAUAUUAUGAUAACAAAAUUGAACAGGGUAAUACCGCUAGAGAGUUGAUAUCGUCAGCGGUGUUUGCCACCUCGAUUAGAUAUAGUCGAGUAUAAAUGGGGUGAAUUGCAAGAAAGUCUAAGGGUCAUAACCACCCGACCUUCCUGGAAGGUCGGGUGGUAUUAUGGAAGGACCUAUGAUGACUUGCAGCGAAGUAUUAUUUAUACAUAUAACUCAACUCCUUUGGAGUUGGGUUAUAAAGAAUAAUAAACGUUCAACGACUAGAGAGUGAGUAGUAUAACAAUAUCUCUCCACGAGCGCUUCAGAAUAUAUAUAAGUAUAUAUAUUUAUGACAUAGUCUGAACUAUAAUGAAAAUUAUAGAUAUUAGUAUAAAGAGGCUAAUGAUAACAAUAUUGGUCGUCUAGGCUCAACCUCACGGUCGCAGCAACUGUGAAGGGUAGGACUGUUCGUCCUGUAAUGAGCUACUUGAGAUGGGUUAAUUACGGCGUGAGCCAGUAAUGAUUCUAUCAUCUGUUGCAUGUGGCUCUGCUCUAUUAUACGUGUACGAGAGGAUGGUAUAAUAUAGUCCUCUGGUGUAUAACUAGUAAUAUAAGUUAUAAGCUAAGACUAAUAAGGAUACGUAUUGACUGCAUAUCAAAUACUAAACCUAGAGUACCGCCACAUAAACAUUGAAUAUAACAAUGUAAUAGAUGGCCCGACCUUUGGUCGGGCCAUACUAAUAAUAACUAUCUAUCUUUGAACAAUUACCUA